CCCCAGCCCCUAAAAAGCUGUGGGUCAACUUACGGGAAUCAAAGGAAUUAAGCAACUACCUGCCAGAUUUUAUCACCACAAUGAAUGUCAGCCCAACACUUUACAGGAAGCUUAUCGCCCAUUUCUGUUCCAACUUGUGAUGGUUUUCCUUGGUACAUGGUGCGAAGAGCUGAGUCAAGUUGUUCUUGGGACGAGGCACCUCUCCCUCAGGCCACGUGCGCUGACGCUGCACUGGCUCGUUCCGUGAAAGUCAGCCCAUAGUGGAGCCUGUGACUGGAGUCAAGGAGUUGCUGUUGCCUUGGCAGCAUUUACUAAGAACAAGGUGAGAAAAACUGAACCUCCUACAUACAAUCAUUGUGAGCAUUACGUGAUAAUUUAUGCAAAGCAUUUAUAGUGCCUGGUGCAUGGUGAGACCUUAAUACAUUUUAAUUUUUGUUUUC